CCUACGGGGGGCAGCAGUGGGGAAUAUUGCACAAUGGGGGAAACCCUGAUGCAGCGACGCCGCGUGAGUGAAGAAGUAUUUCGGUACGUAAAGCUCUAUCAGCAGGGAAGAAAAUGACGGUACCUGACUAAGAAGCCCCGGCUAACUACGUGCCAGCAGCCGCGGUAAUACGUAGGGGGCAACCGUUAUCCGGAUUUACUGGGUGUAAAGGGAGCGUAGACGGCAGCGCAAGUCUGGAGUGAAAUCCCAUGGCUUAACCAUGGAACUGCUUUGGAAACUGUGCAGCUAGAGUGCAGGAGAGGUAAGCGGAAUUCCGAGUGUAGCGGUGAAAUGCGUAGAUAUUAGGAGGAACACCAGUGGCGAAGGCGGCUUACUGGACUGUAACUGACGUUGAGGCUCGAAAGCGUGGGGAGCAAACAGGAUUAGAUACCCUUGUAGUC
rnacentral:rRNA from 1 species